AAAAAGAGAAAAAAACAGAAAUAUAUAUAAUACUAAAAAAAAAAGAAACUAGAAGGCUACCUCAGAAUGAGACUCUCUAAUCUACAUCAGAACCAGAUAGAAUGUGCACUGUGUGAGUCUAUUGUUUUCCUUUCACUUGUACCAUUGAAGAUUUAUCCAAGUGCCAGGUUGCUCAGUGCUGUAAUUUUGUUUUAGUGAAACAAGGGAGGUCAGAUAGGUUAUUGGGUCAUCAAGACACGCCAUUUUGGACAUGUGGGAUCUAAUGGAAUAUCACACAUCAAAAUGACUGGCCAGUGAGCAGUUUAUCUCUCUGCAACUGAAGCUGCCUGUGUGACAGGAGACAUGGCAGUAGUCACCAAAAGAAAUGAAUGGAUGUGUGCUAUAGGAGGAUGAG
rnacentral:lncRNA from 1 species